GCCUAAAGCGUCCGUAGCCGGCUUUGUAAGUUUUCGGUUAAAUCUAUAUGCUCAACAUAUAGGCCGCCGGGAAUACUGCAAAGCUAGGGAGUGGGAGAGGUAGACGGUACUCCGUAGGAAGGGGUAAAAUCCUUUGAUCUAUGGAUGACCACCUGUGGCGAAGGCGGUCUACCAGAACACGUUCGACGGUGAGGGAUGAAAGCUGGGGGAGCAAACCGGAUUAGAUACCCGGGUAGUCCCAGCUGUAAACUAUGCAAACUCAGUGAUGCAUUGGCUUGUGGCCAGUGCAGUGCCGCAGAGAAGUCGUUAAGUUUGCCGCCUGGGAAGUACGUACGCAAGUAUGAAACUUAAAGGAAUUGGCGGGGGAGCACCACAAGGGGUGAAGCCUGCGGUUUAAUUGGAGUCAACGCCAGAAAUCUUACCCGGAGAGACAGCAGGAUGAAGGUCAAGCUGAAGACUUUACCAGACAAGCUGAGAAGUGGUGCAUGGCCGUCGCCAGCUCGUGCCGUGAGGUGUCCUGUUAAGUCAGGUAACGAGCGAGAUCCUUGCCUCUAGUUGCCACCAUUACUCUCAGGAGUAGUGGGGCGAAUUAGCGGGACUGCCGUAGUUAAUACGGAGGAAGGAGAGGGCCACGGCAGGUCAGUAUGCCCCGAA
rnacentral:rRNA from 1 species